rnacentral:rRNA from 1 species
AGCGUAGACGGCUGUGUAAGUCUGAAGUGAAAGCCCGGGGCUCAACCCCGGGACUGCUUUGGAAACUAUGCAGCUAGAGUGUCGGAGAGGUAAGUGGAAUUCCCAGUGUGGCGGUGAAAUGCGUAGAUAUUGGGAGGAACACCAGUGGCGAAGGCGGCUUACUGGACGAUGACUGACGUUGAGGCUCGAAAGCGUGGGGAGCAAACA